GUUAAAUCGACUUUCUUGUAUAUAUAAUAUAGAUAUUAAAUUCUUUUGUUCUUAUAAUAUAAAAAUUGCUAACUCAGAAAGAGGAAAAAAAAAAUUAAUUGUCUGCUGUUGUAUGAACUGCCGAUUACUAACAUAAAAUGGAAACAAAGGGAUGCCAUUGCAUGCUGCUCCAAAUUGACCAUCCUUAUUUAAUGCAAUAACUCCACCAGUAAAGUGAGGAUAAUGUUCAGCAAUUCUACGAAUAGCUGUUUUAGCUGCGUCUACGGGCAUGGCACCACGACGCAUUUCUUCUACUGCAAGAAAACUAAAAAAAUAAAAAAAAAAAAAAUAAAAAGACAUAA